GAGGCGGAGCGCUUGCAGCCCCUGCAACUAGCGGUAUAUAUACCCGGGACCAGGGCGAGGCCCGCGUGGCCCGUUUCCCGGGAAGCCAAACGCCAGCUCCAGGGGGGGCCCCGUCCGCGGGCCACAUGAGGUGCGUCUAGUUCUUACUUCUAUUUCUUAUCUUGACCACUGGCUUGGUCCAUUCGGAUGUGACAUUCGACUUCUUGGGACGUGUCUCAGUACUGUCACCUGAAAGUCCUGGGCUGGGGGAUCUUCCCUCUGCGCCCUGAAGGUGGUUGGAGCACAGGUGUGAGCCAUCGAGUGAACCUGCUUCUGGAGCGUUCUGAUGCCAGAUCAUUUCCUGCACUGAGAAUUUAGCACAGAUCAAAUCACAACACAGUACAACCUCAAAGGAGUGCUCAUACCAGCUUCACCGGUGAUAACCACAAACUGGAAACAGCCCAGAUGUCUGAUCAGUAAGAAGCUGGAUAAACCAUGGUAUAUCCAUACAAAAGAAUACCAUUUUGCAAUAAAAAGGAAUAAGCUAUCAGUACAUGAAUGACACAGAUGAAUCUCAGAAACAUUAUGCAGAGUGAAGAAAACUUCAUUCAGAAGAGAACACUGCAAUGACUCCAUUUAUGUGAAGUCUUAGAACUGGCUAUGCUAAUCUGUGGAGGAAAAACAAUGGCUGUGUGGGCCUUCCCUGUUAGUAAAGGGUCUUUGAAUACAUUUUAA